AGCAAGGCAACUGUGGAAAUCAGUUCUGGGGAAAAUCUCAAGAUGCCUAUGGAUUUCUUUGCUUACACUAUACUGACCCUCAACUCCUGAACUAUUUGAUAGAAGGAAAACUGGGCAGCCCUUCUGGAGAGGAGCGUCAGUCAAGGAGUGAAUGCCAUGAUUAGUUUUCCUUUACCUCACCACUGGGACGGUCCUUGAUAGUUUAUAGAAUUCAUUCCCUCAAGCUUGUGUCCCUU